rnacentral:rRNA from 1 species
CCUACGGGUGGCAGCAGUGGGGAAUAUUGCACAAUGGGGGAAACCCUGAUGCAGCGACGCCGCGUGAGUGAAGAAGUAUUUCGGUAUGUAAAGCUCUAUCAGCAGGGAAGAAAAUGACGGUACCUGACUAAGAAGCCCCGGCUAACUACGUGCCAGCAGCCGCGGUAAUACGUAGGGGGCAAGCGUUAUCCGGAUUUACUGGGUGUAAAGGGAGUGUAGACGGCCAGACAAGUCAGAAGUGAAAGCCCAGGGCUCAACCCUGGGACUGCUUUUGAAACUGCCGGGCUGGAGUGCAGGAGAGGUAAGCGGAAUUCCUAGUGUAGCGGUGAAAUGCGUAGAUAUUAGGAGGAACACCAGUGGCGAAGGCAGCAUACCGGCGCGCAACUGACGCUCAUGCACGAAAGCGUGGGUAUCGAACAGGAUUAGAUACCCGAGUAGUC